GAGUAUACCACACGCGAGCCUGGUUAGCAAUCUGAAUAGAGAAAGAGAGAGAAAGAGAGAGAGAGAGAGAGAGAGAGAGAGAGAGAGAGAGAGAGAGAGAUUGAUGGCGCGCGGCGGCGGCGGCGGAGUCGAGUUUCGGCCGCCUCCUGAGAUGGCGAUGGAAGAGAUGGAUCGGCAGCCUGUCGUUGUUUCCGAAGCAAGAAUCCUGAGGAUGGAGAUUGCGUCCCUGGUGAACUUGCUCAUCGAGAAACAAUCUGACGUUCUUUCCUACGAUCCCGAGAUCGUGAGGAAGAUCACGUCCCUGAGGAGCGAGAUCGCGUGCCAGAAGCUGGCGAGGGAGCGCAAAGCCUUGGUUACAGAGGUCAAACGCACAGUGCCGCGGAGGCGCAAAAAGUUUUAUGCAGUGCGGAGGGUCGCUGAGAAGGAGAUCAUGGCCGAUCAGGAGAGCGUGGAUCUGCCUAACUCCGAUACGCAUAGUGUGACCUCCCAAGUCAGUUGCAUCUCCGAGCAGUUGCCCGAGCCCUGUGACCAGAAGGAGAUCGACUCGGAGAAUAACAAAUCAGCUUCCAGAUUCAAAUCCAACUUCGAGCAUGUAUAUUCACCCUACGGUAUUGAGGACGAGGGAGUGCGCCUAAACCGCCAAUUCAGUCAUAUAUUGCAGCACGCGGAUGCCUUGUGUGACGAGAUGGCAUCUAUAGCAUCUAUUCUGAGGAAAAUUAGUGUCCCCAUCAUCUCCUAUUACGAUGUCUCCGAUCUGUGUAACACAGCGCAGAGUUUAUCGAGGAUCUCCAAUAGUAUAUUGUAUAAUAGCAUGAAUGCUGAUAAACAGAUGGCGGUCCAAUAUGCUGAGGACCAGAGGACCAAGGAGGAGAUGACCGAUCAGAUGGGCUAAGGCAAAUCCAGCACCCACUGUCUUGAGAAGCAGAGGACUGAGGAAGAGGUGGAUGUAUCUAUAACAGAUUUGACUGACCAUACCGCUGAUGAUGGCCAGUUGACAGAUGAUGAGGGUGACCAUUUUGUGGGAGCAGAUCUGAUAAGUUGCCUUUCCAACCAGAUGACUGCGUACAUGGAUGAUGGCCAAUCAAGCGCCGAGACGCAUGAGUCGAGGAUGAUGGACAAAGGCAAAUCAAUUAGUGAAGGCAAGUCAAGCAUGGAGACACAUGCGUCGAGGAUGUUGGAUAUGAUGGUGCUGGUUUCUGAUGAUAAGAGUGAGUCGGAUGGUAUGACCAACUUGUGCAAAUAUUACAAGAUGCUCGAAUUUGAGGAUGAGAAGGUGUUGGGCAAGAUGACUGCUGAGAAUUUAAGGAUGUAUUACAAAUUUCGUACGGAGCUAUUAAAGAUGGAAGCCAGCUUACGCGAGUUCCGGGAGCAGAAUGAAAAGGAUGACCUGAGGUGGGAGCAGGAUAAAAAGGACGCACUGAGCUGUUGCAGAACAGACCCGACCCCCUUCUCACUUCAGGACGCGGUAGGGGAGGAGGGAGAGGAGGAGGAGGUGACAGAAUUCACAGAAUCAGACAAAGAGGAGAUGGAGAUGGAGGACAGGUUGUUUUCUGGAAAACGUGAAGUCUGGGAAUCCGCAUGGGGAUGCUGUGGUGAAUUUGAAGACAGUACCGCAGUGAGUCCUAUGCACUUUACACAUUGCACGCCGGGACUGAUCCCGUACGCCGCUCGCUCUGUGAGCACCUUGCAGAUCUACUCCUUGAAGAUUGUUGGAACAGAUGGAAAGUUGAAGUUACCACUCCAUGUGUAUGGUGUUGUUGCUGCCCGAGACACCGUGGACUACAACCGCAACAUUCUCUUCUUUAGGCGAAGGGAAGACUGUCAAAAACUCACUCCAGAGGAUCCAUUUUUGCACUUGACUGGCCCGUCCCGUGCCAUCGUGGCUAUGGACCACGUUGACUUCGAAGUCCAACUGAAAGUAAAGGGUGCAACAAGGUCCAGCGACAGAGCAUUGAUCAGUCGUUGCUGCACUUAUUCUGGUGGUUAUCAUGAAGGUUUAGAUACCGCUCUCAUCAACAACUGCUUUUGCACGGUAGAGUUAAGCUUGGAGCGACUCACAAAGACAGUCCAGGCUACCAUCUUAAGUGUCCGUGUUGUUGAAGGGGGACCUUGGCCUUUUGAAUAUGGUGGUCGGAUUGUGUGCUCCUCACCACCACAGGAAGUUAUGGACUCCCUGGCCAGGCAAGUUGUGUUGGUUGAUUCUCGUUCUUCUGAUGGUGGAGAAAUGCCAAUGGGCACAGAUGGCUACCUUGAUCUGUCAAGGCAUGUUGUUUCUGUAGAACUGGAAGAAAGCCUGCAAUUUGUUAUACAAGCCUACUCGCAGUCUGGUGAUGCUAUUGCUAGACAAGGUCGUGUCAAGUUCAGGGCCGAAUACUGCAAUGUAAGUCGAGGUAUAUGUGAGAUUGGUGACUCUAAGGUGGAGAUUACUGUUGCUUGGUCCAAACUUGUUACCAAAAGGAUGGAUAUCCUCUUAGAAGGACAUGUUUGAUGGUUCUUGUGCGUUGGAGGUUAUGGACUACAGAACCCGUUACCCAAAUUUAUCUGUUUGUCCCUUGCAUGUGGUUUGUGAAACUGCAGAACUAUUUUUGUAUUGAUAUGUCCAACUAUUUGUGUAUCUGACUAUCUGUGUCCACUUCAACUUCUGAU
rnacentral:rRNA from 1 species